rnacentral:lncRNA from 1 species
ACACAUUGCUCCCACCAACUGACAAUAUUCACUUUCCCACCGCUGAUGUUUCACUUGCGGUUGAGAUUACAAAACUUUCAUUUUGACA